rnacentral:misc_RNA from 1 species
GUCCGCUUCUGCUCCAACUCUCGUCUCAGCUCCUCCACCGCCGGAGAACGAGAUAUUGGAGGGGAGGCCGAAGACAGUGGAGGAGUAUCUUGAGUGAAAGUUGAAGUCAGAACAUAGCCGCGGCAAAAUCGUCCACCUCUACCGCCCCCACCACCGCGCUGCAAUGACGGAGAUGGAGAUGAUGAUUGCUGUUCUCGGCCAGAAUCCUGCCGGCCACCGCGAGACAUUGUGUCAAACGGUCACAACAAGCAGAGAAACAGCAAAAGAAAAACCGAAGAAAGCAACCGAUAAUUCUGAGAGAGAAA